GUAACGACCCAGCCCACUAGCAACAAUAACUCGUUGGGCCCAACAACCGGCCCAAAAUGCUUAAGCCCAGUUAUUAUUACUAAUAUCUAAGUCUCUUAUAAACCCAAUGACAACCCCUUUCCCAUCUGAUGUGGGACUAUUGGGGUGUCACAGACUCCCCCCGUUAAGGCCCUGACGUCCUCGUCAGUCCAAUCACACACACAGCCCUGACGUCCUCGUCAGUCCAAUCACACACAGCCCUGACGUCCUCGUCAGUCCAAUCACACACACAGCCUAAGAUCACCAGGCGAUAUGAGACUCGUCUCGCUAGCCCGUCAUCCAGACCCUGGCUCAGCCGAGACUCGCCACACAUGCCCAGCUGGUGAACCGGCUCUGAUACCAAAUGUAACGACCCAGCCCACUAGCAAUAAUAA
rnacentral:lncRNA from 1 species